rnacentral:rRNA from 1 species
GCCUGACAGGGUUACUCUGAGUGGUUCCCGCUAAGGGGAUCUUUUGGCACCUCUAAAAAUGGUGCAGAAUAAGGGGUGGGCAAGCCUGGUGUCAGCCGCCGCGGUAAUACCAGCACCCCGAGUGGUCGGGACGAUUAUUGGGCCUAAAGCAUCCGUAGCCGGUCAUGCAAGUCUUCCGUUAAAUCCAGCCGCUCAACGGUUGGGCUGCGGAGGAUACUACGUGGCUAGGAGGCGGGAGAGGCAAGCGGUACUCAGUGGGUAGGGGUAAAAUCCUUUGAUCCAUUGAAGACCACCAGUGGCGAAGGCGGCUUGCCAGAACGCGCUCGACGGUGAGGGAUGAAAGCUGGGGGAGCAAACCGGAUUAGAUACCCGGGUAGUCCCAGCUGUAAACGAUGCAGACUCGGUGAUGGGAUGGCCUCGAGCUAUCCCAGUGCCGCAGGGAAGCCGUUAAGUCUGCCGCCUGGGGAGUACGGUCGCAAGACUGAAACUUAAAGGAAUUGGCGGG